rnacentral:rRNA from 1 species
UACGAGGGGGGCGAGCGUUGUUCGGAAUUAUUGGGCGUAAAGGGCGCGUAGGCGGUCGGAUAAGUCUUGUGUGAAAUCUUCGGGCUCAACUCGAAGUCUGCACAGGAAACUAUCUGGCUUGAGUGUGGGAGAGGUGAGUGGAAUUCCUGGUGUAGUGGUGAAAUACGUAGAUAUCUGGAGGAACACCGGCGGCGAAGGCGGCGAACUGGUCGAAUAUUGACACUCAUACACGAAAGCGUGGGGAUCAAACAGG